GACAUCUUGCGUCACUUCGCCCCGAAUACACCAAACCAUAAAACCAGCAGAGCACCGUUGUGUCCUACACACUCAGCGAAGCACUGCCUAGCAAACAUGGCAACCGUUCGAAAACUACUGUCAGUUCUUGUGUUCUAUGCCCUGUCGUACUGCCCCGCCUAUUCAUUGAGUGAAUUCUGCUACCGUCUUGCUCCACAACAAAUAACAGCUGUGGCUACUCCGUGCUACUACCCUUGUAUGCCGC